GUGCUCAUUUUGGCAGCACAUAUACUAAAAAUUGGAAUGAUACAAAGAAGAUUAGCAUGGCCCUGGCGCAAAGAUGACACGCAAAUUCAUGAAGCGUUCCAUAUUUUC
rnacentral:snRNA from 1 species